rnacentral:piRNA from 1 species
CAAGUGCUCAGGACGUGUAGACCUGU